AUUUUCGCGAGGCUGACGUUCACCCACGGCGGCCCGAGCGAGCAAUUGUAAGUGUCGGAGGCGAUCUUCUCUGACGAUGGUAUCUGAGACAGGAUCGAAAGAGGCAUUUAAAGAGAAAACAUUAGAAAACUUCAAGCGAUUCGAUGGAAGGAAUGUAAUGCUGAUGGACGACAGGAUGUUCAUGUACGCAGGAUAAGCAGUUCCGAUUGUAAUCGCGAUUACGUUAAAGACCCGUUUGCGAAACGCGAGCCACGCGAGCUUCGUUCCCCGCUCGAACGAAACCGCACGCGGAAACCACCAGGCUAUUUUACGAUAUCCAGAUGCACGCGUAUCCCCAGAUCCGAGGUACUCGUUACAACACAAAUAGACAGCAAUAACGGCAACGAACAAUCCCAGUUCGUGGUACGAGCUACAUAAAUACUCCUCACGGACGAAUUGCAUAUGCAGAAGGUGGAUUCGUGCACGCACUGUUCGAGAAACAAAUUACCGCGGCAGAACGUAACGUCUGAUAUCGAAUCUCUAAUUUACUUUAUUAUAUUGCUCGUUAAGGGCAAUAUUAAUAGACAAAUAAUGCGUUGAUUUUCAUGUGAAAUAACUGACAAUUGCAGAAAAAAAUAAUGAAGAAAAAAUUCUGAUUUAUCCGA